AACGCACAUUGCGCUCCCUGGUAUUCCGGGGAGCAUGCCUGUUCGAGCGUCAUUAUCAACCAUCAAGCCCUGCUUGGCAUUGGGUGUCGUCCCCAGCGGACGGGCUUUAAAGUCUUCGGCGGCGGUGUUUAACCUCAAGCGUAGUAAAACUCCAGCUUCUCAGGUUUGGCGCCGUCUGCUUUGACCAACAUCUCCUAAGGUUGACCUCGGAUCAGGUAGGGAUACCCGCUGAACUUAA
rnacentral:misc_RNA from 1 species